rnacentral:rRNA from 1 species
CCGGUCGAUAAGCCGGAGGAAGGUGGGGAUGACGUCAAGUCCUCAUGGCCUUACAGGCUGGGCUACACACGUGCUACAAUGGCAUCUACAGUGGGCAGCUAUUCCGCAAGGAUGCGCUAAUCUCCAAAAGAUGUCUCAGUUCGGAUUGUCCUCUGCAACUCGAGGGCAUGAAGGCGGAAUCGCUAGUAAUCGCGGAUCAGCAUGCCGCGGUGAAUACGUUCCCAGGCCUU